UGCCCCGUCGUCUAAUGGCAAGACAGCAGACUCUGGAUCUGCUUAUCGAGGUUCGAAUCCUUGCGGGGCAG
rnacentral:tRNA from 1 species